UUUACUUGCCAACUGCAAAAGAUCCAACUUAUACAGCUGAAGGAUUUGAAGUAAGCGUUGGCACGAACCAUCUUGGACACUUCCUCCUCUCAUGGCUGCUGUUAGAUGACAUGAAAGAAUCAGACUAUCCAUUUAAACGCUUCAUCAUUGUUGGCUCCAUAACAGGUACUAGUUUUGGUUAAACAUUUAACAAUUGCAACAGUUGGACAUACAGCUUUACAUUCAGAUGACCUGGUUAACGAAUUUAUCAUAAGAUCUUAAAGACUGCUAUGAUCAAAUCCAGAAAUUAUAUUCUUGAAUUUGUUUUCAAAGAAAGUAGGAGUGAAGUUGGGUGUAAAAGCCCAGAGCAAGAAAUGGUCAAUUGCUGAUUAGAAUUUCACGUUUAAUUAUAUUUUAGAAAGUGAACUUUUUUACAUUAAAUAUUUAGGAAGAAGUUUUGGCGAAUAGUGCAACUUCACAAAAAUAUUUCAUUUUUUCAUAGGAAGGUCUUAAAUUUGUAUCUCAAAAUCCCUCCCUCCAACUGUUUUGUCUCUAAUAUUACAUUGGUGGAACAGGAAACUAACAUACCCUAGUUCUAUUCUUUUUUACUCAUAACAGUCGUAUUCUAAUGAAGAAAGUUCUAAAACUAAAACAGUUUCUUACAUGGGUUUAUAUGCAAAGAAUCUAUAAGUUGCCAUGAACCAUGGUAGUUAAGUAAAUGUGGUUUGCUCUGGCUAAAACUACAGGAAACACAAACACCUUGGCUGGUAACGUGCCUCCAAAGGCAAAUCUUGGGGAUCUGAGGGGACUAGCAGGUGGAUUAAAUGGCUUAAACAAUUCACCUAUGAUAGAUGGGGGAGAAUUUGAUGGUGCCAAGGCCUACAAGGACAGCAAAGUUUGCAACAUCCUUACCAUGCAAGAGUUCCAUAGAUGCUUCCAUGAGGAGACUGGAAUCACCUUCGCAUCCCUCUACCCUGGAUGCAUUGCUACGACAGGCUUGUUUAGGGAACACAUUCCGUUGUUCAGGCUUCUCUUCCCACCUUUUCAAAAGUACAUCACCAAAGGUUACGUCUCUGAAGAAGAAGCUGGAAAAAGACUAGCACAGGUCAGUACUCGGUAUAUAUAAAUCAAAACAGGAUUUCAUUAUUCAGUUUCAGUGGUAUAUCAUUAUCAACUAAACCAUCCUUGCUGGAUCAGGUAGUAAGUGACCCAAGCCUAUCAAAAUCUGGUGUAUACUGGAGCUGGAACUCCAACUCUGCCUCAUUCGAGAACCAGCUUUCUCAAGAAGCCAGUGAUGCCGAGAAGGCACGCAAGUUAUGGGAGAUUAGUGAGAAGCUUGUUGGAUUGGCAUAAUUAAGAAAGUAUAAAAUUAACACGUGUGUUAGGAAUAAGUAUAACUAUAUAUAUAUAUUUGCAACUUGGGAAAACUGAGAAUAUUUAUAUAUAUAAUAUAUAGAACUUAUCUGAUGUAAACAUGAAUUAUAAACUAAGAGACAGCCGAGUAACAUGUCAAAGUAGCCACAAGAGAAGCAACAGAAUAGAAAUUAACAAGUAAAAAUUAUUGUUCUUCAAUGUCAGGCUACGUACACAAAACUCGGAAGUACAUAGAUGAGGAGAAAGAUUCAGAUUACUGAAACUACAUUUCUUGAUAAAGGCAGGCGAUAUAUAUCUCAAAAUAGAGCAGGAAAAAAACAGGCUUCCCAAGUUCUAGGAACUGGUGUUUGUUAGUAUCUUCGGCAGAACUCUUUUCCUUCCCAAGGGCAAGGAUAUGGCUUCUGUUGGCUGGUGGGAAUGAAUAUAUAUAUAUAUAUAUAUAUAUAGUUUGCUACACUUCUGACCAUGAUAAAAAAGAAAACCUCAAGCCUUCUACGACUAUAAACAAUGUGAUGGAUGUUCAAAUUUAAAUUAUCAACGUGGCAUAGAUGAAAGUAAGUAGGGCACGACGUCGUUUAAUUCCCAGAUUAGAUUCAUUCAACGCAGUUUUCAGUUGACACCUUAUUUCAUUCUCCAGUCUCCACGCACGCAUACGGAGAGAGAAUCCACAACUAAACUCUGUUCCGUUCCCCAGGUUUCUCUCAUUUUUUUAUCUCACAAAAAUAUACUCUACUUAUAUCACUAUCAUUCCUUCAUCAUAUAUACAUAGAUAUUGAUAUAGAGAUAGAAAAUGGAGGCAUUUGAUGCUAUGUACGGCGGCGACGAAGGAGGUGGAGGCGGACGAGAGCAGGUUGAAUCGACGGCUGUUCCCUUCGACGACGACGACGAUGACGAUGGCGCCUACAUUGGCAUUGAUUCGCGUCUCGCUUCCCAACGCUACGACUUCGACGAUCCUGCCGCUACACCUAAUUUCCACGACGAAUUUCCCGGCUCCAACAACACCACCAUGCAUUCGUCGCGGGACUAUGGAUACCAUCCCUCGCCGUUCGAGUCCUCAGCUGUCCCCGAAUCCAACGGCAAUGCUCCGGAACCCUACGAUCUAGGAGCUGAUACCGAGGGAAUCUUCUCUUCUUCCAAUGAAGGUCCGAUACUCCCUGACCCUAACCAGAUGCGAGAAGAAGGCUCUGCUUUUCGUGAGUGGCGCCGGUGAGUUCGUCUCAUAUUUUCACGUUGAUUCUGCGCAUCUGCGUUGUUUUUUGAUCUAUUUAUACUUAUUAGAAAAGCAGGUUAGUUUAUUAUGCAGGGCUGAAUUGGAUUGUGUUUUCAUCAAUCUGGUUUGUGUGGAUUUUAUUACUGAAUGCAUUUCUUAUUUAUUUAGUAAUAUUUUUAAGUGGAUUGUGAUUAUUAGUUCAUGAUGGAUGUUACUUGUAACUUUUGUAAUGAUGGAAUGACGGCUUAAAUGCAUCCAUAGAUGAUCAAGCUUCAAUUGUGCCGCAGCUAGAUUUAAUCAUUCAAUGUACAAGGUUAAAUCUUAACGAUGCGAACAGCAAUUCGCGUUGAACUCAUUUGUGUUGAUGAUGAUAUCUAAAGAAAACAUAAAGUAGUGAAACUGAGAUUUGCUCAGGGUUUGAAGAAAGGAUGAAGACUGACGAGUCAGAUGGCAUUCCCAUUCUUGUUCUUUUAUCCCCUGGAAUAUGAAGUAACUUAUAAGAAAAUCCUCCUUUUCUCAUUCAAUUCACUAACCUACAGAGACAAAGACUCUUUCAUGAACUACCUGAAAUUAAGGGUGUAAACGAAUCGAGUCGAUCCGAGUAUUGAGUUGCUCAGAUUUGGUUCACAAAAUUUAUCGAGUAUAAAAUAAGGUUUGAUUGAUGCUCAUUUAGCUACCGAGUCGAGCACGAUUCCGAAUCGAGUCCGAGCAGUUUGGACUUUUCUAACGAAUAUGAUCCGAGUAUAAAAAGAAAAUUAUAAUUUGAGGAGGUUCAAGUAAUUUAUCGAACUUUAAAAUGUGCUCAUAUUUGACUCAUUUAUAUUUCGAGUCGAGCUCGAAUCGAACUUUUAGUCGAGCAACUACGAAUCGAACCCGAACUAUUUGCUCAUUUUACAGCCUUACCUGAAAUUAGCUAUGAGGGCCUUAUGACUCUUUUAUUGAAUAAUCCUAUAGCUGAGUAGAUUAAGAUUUUUAUUUACUUAUUAGUUGAUUGAUGAAUUCAGAAUAAGAUAUAUGGCUAAGAAUUUACGAAAAGAAAAUAUUAAAUUGUUUGGAUAAAAAUUACAAUUAAGGCCUUGCCUUGCAAUCAAGUAGUACAAAAUGAUGUUGAAUUUAUUAAAAUUACGGAAUCUUAGAAAACUGUGGGAGAUGCUUGAUAGUGUCACGCUGUGAGAAAACAAUAUAUCAAUAUGCUUGCUAACAUUCAGGAAGCAGAAAAUCUGUAGGUAAUAGGCCUGACUCAAAUUUAGUUUGUUUGAGCUUUUUAGAACAAAGAAUAUGUUACUUAAAUCACUUAAAAUAGCCUAAAGGAUGUUCUUUGGGGUUGGGACCUGGAGGAAGUAUGAACAACAAAACUUUGUAUGGAUAUCUGUAAUAUGAGGAUAUGCCUUUUGUGACGAGCAAAAAGAUUUUAAGCAGUGGAAUCAAAUAGGUCAAUAUUUUUAUUUAAUAUUUUGGAUAAGUAACAUUGGCCCGCCCCGCUUAUGGGAUCAUAACAAGAAAUCAGCUAGGUCAGUAUUGGGCCAGUUCAAUUAAUUGAGGCCAUUUGAUACCUUAAUUGAUUUUCGUAUGUUUUUGUACCGCUGGCAGUUAAAACUUUUGUCAUUGGCAAUCGGCCAUAUCAUUGUCAUAUGUACUUAUUUUAAUGGUUUACCAUAUAUGUCCUAAUAGGUGUUGAUCUGAACUAAACCACUGGAUUAUUGCUUUUUGCAGAUUUUGUGUAAUGUUGUGACCCAAUUAAUUCUAUGAAGCAGGUGUUCCUCGCUUGUCCAUAGACCUUUGUGUAGCCCAGACAAGUUAAAUUGUGCUUCGUCCUAGGGUUAGGAACUAGUUGUAAUGCUUUUACCAUCUUUAAAGAGGUUAUCCUUGAACAGAUUGAAAGGAUCCGCUUUUGUUCCUCUAUUUUAUUUUUCCUUUCUUGUUUCCUAGUUCCCUGAUGCUUCAUUUUAUCCUUAGGUUAGUGAUGGUAGGUUGGCUUUUGUUGAAUUUUUUUUGUAGUAUGCAAGAAUUAAAUUAUAUGCUGCGUUAUACUCGAUAUUUUUCUUGGUUUGUUUGGAUCAAGUUAAAGUAUUUUUGUUGGACCGUAUGGACCCCUGUGGUUCUUCCAUCCAAUGGGGUUGUGGUAUUAAGUUAAUUCAAUAUUAAGUUUAAGGUUACUAUAAAUUUGUGGCUUCUAACAAUUUUAAAUUAUUUCUGUAGCCAAAAUGCUAUUUAUCUCGAGGAGAAGGAAAAGAAGGAAAAGGAGAUGCGGAAUCAGAUAAUCAAUGAAGCUGAUGAGUAUAAGCGAGCUUUUACUGAGAAAAGGAAGGUCAACUGUGAAACUAACAAGGCUAAUAACAGAGAAAGAGAGAAGGUAAACUGCUGAUAAUGAUAUUUCUUAUUCCUCCAUAAGCAUUUGUAUGAUUUUUGUGUCAUAACAUGAUUUUGUGUAUUGGGACAGCUAUACCUGGCCAAUCAAGAGAAGUUCCACAAGGAAGCUGACAAACAGUACUGGAAAGCAAUUGGGGAGAUCAUUCCUCGUGAGGU
rnacentral:lncRNA from 1 species